UGGGCAUGAAUGCUCAACGACACAAAGCAACCCCAGAAGAAACACAAUAUCUCUCUCUCCCUCUCUCCCUCAUAGACCCACAAGAACAGUGAUAUGAUGUGGAGGAAGUGGAAGGAGCAGAACGAUGGGAUGAUCAGUGGUGUUGGAGUUAGUGAAUGCCUGUUACUGUUGUGGGCAGCCUUGCUUGCUCUCUCUCUAAUAUCGGCCAUUCUCUUGUCUUGUGCAGAGGGUGCGUCUCCCUCCUCCAAGGCCAGAGCAGCUUCGGCUGACGACUCUGGCUUCUAUAGUGCUGGAUGUGCCGCUGGUUGCGGUGCUGCCUGUGGCGGCGCUUGUGGUGCUUGAUGUUGCUGUAGGUGGUUUCUACUUCUCACUG
rnacentral:lncRNA from 1 species